CCGGAGAAAUCUUGGUUCCCGCCACCACUGUUGUUAAACGCGUUUGCAGUACCAUGGUUUUCGUAUUUUGAUGCUUCGGCUUCUUCAGCCUCAAGCAUUGCGAGGAGGUUUUUCAUCACACGAGAUGACAUUCUUAUAACUUUACUUAAAUAUUGCUAUUAGAAUUUUUGUAUUUGGAUGGUGUUAAUGUUGCAACCAAAACCUUAUUAUAUAGAUGAAAGGAUAGGAAUAUGAUGCUUUUGCUUGUUGUUCACGCGUGAAACUCGUUUUUAUACCUUGGAAUCAAAUUAUAUUUAUGCAUAAUUACAUGUCUUUGGAUUAUACCCAAGAGUUCUUCUCAACAGCAUAUUAGAUUCCCAAACAUGAUCAAGAUAUAACAAGCAUUAUAUAGGAGAAUAAAUAUAAACAUAAUAUAAUAACUAAAACCGGCAUAAAGUCAUGAUUACAAGUAAUACAUAUAUGUCAUAAUAGAGUGAAAAUAUAACUCGACUAAAAAAGAAUUUGAUAUUUAUUAGUAUUUUUAGUAAAUAAUCACGAGUUUGGUUUAUUGAGAGUUAGACUAAAAAAAAUCUCAAGGACAAUUUGCGCAAAGAUGUGCAGAAAAAGGUGUUUGUAAUUGAACCUUAAAUGCUUGAACAAUGACCAAAGGAAUGUAAAUUCUAACAACAAUAAAUUUUGGAUAAAGAUAAUAAAUAAAAAGCGUGACAAAAGUCAUAAAAAAAUAACAAUGCUUUAAUUUAAAAUACUUGAAGAAUUUAAAGAGUGGCAUUUAAUCAUACAGUAUCUCACAAAUUGUUUCUCUAUGCAACUUGGGUAUUUUAGUUUUAUAGAGAACAUAUGAAAUUUGUGACCUUGAUCCCAAUAAUGAGAUCAGUUAUAUAUAAUAAUACAAUAGUAACCAUCGACAACAACUAUUUCCACAAGAUUUGAUAUGUAUCCCAUGACGUGGGUUUCAACGCUCUAACUUGCUUCCACAUUAAAACUAUUGAAAAUCACUUACUAUGUUGAUAACUGCUCUUAAACCUCUUAACUGCCUCUAUUGAGAGUCUUUGGUCGACUCCUAUAAUAAUUUUGAGAUAUAUUCAUAACCGCAUCCUAUUGACUUAAUAAUAUCCCAAGUUUCCAACAUCUGGUGGAUGUUUUGAACUCGACCCUUGUCGAAGAGCUGGUUCACCUAUUCCUUUUUUAGAUUGUGAACAUGUUUCGAAGAGAGACUGAUCUUGAUCUUAUGGAUAUAUUCUUGAGACUCUUACAAACCAUGCUACACGGGCUAUGCCCCAUAUCAUAUGACAAAGAGGUAUAACCAUCUUUAGUCGACGUGGUGGAUAUGUUAAAGUUAUACUUGGGGCUCUUGACAAUUAACAUUUUCAGACGUGGUUAUUAACAUUCUUUGUUAAAUUCCUUCAACUAAAAUUUGCAUGCUAAUAGAUGCUCCAAAAAAUGCCACUUUCGAUCAUAUUAUCAGAUGGAGCAAAAGGUGGGGUUUUCACUAACUUCUCGAUAUAUAUAAAAAAAAAAUAAUCAAGCGAAAGUGACAAAUAAAAUUUUGGAUUUAAAUAUGUUUGUGGUCCUCAUAAAUAUUUCAAAUUUUGUUUUUAAUCUUUUAAAAUAUUUGUUUCAGAGAAUAGUCCUUUCAAAAUUUUGCAUCUCCACCAUCAUGCCGUGAGAAAUAAAAGAGGGCAUGUCAAAGAAAAGGCAGUGAGUUCACAUCAGAGGUUGCACGCGAAGUGGCUGAAAAGAUUGUAAGUUGAUACUUUUUUCAACAAUAUUUAUUUUUGUUAAAUCAAUUUGGUAAAUAUGAAAUUUUAUAUAUGUUGUAGAAUUUACUGGUUGAUUAAUCUAAAGUUGGCCUCUUCGUUCCAAAAGAUCGUCAUGAUAUCUUGGUAGAAGAGAUUGGAAUCGAGAAGCAUCAUGGACGUGUCUGUGAUCUUGGAAGAGACAUUGACUUCAAGUCACAUUUUGGACCAUCUAAAUCAUAUAGGCAAGUAAAUAGUAGGAGAAAGAUUGAAGAGAUAGUUGUUGUAUAAGUGAGGGAGGUAACAGAGAUGUGAAUUCAAGAGGAGAGGGGGAAUUUGUUGCAGUAGGUGCGGGAGACUGUUUAGAAGGAGCAAGAGGAGCGAAAGAGGUUGGUCGAGGAGAAGCGAAAUAAGUCAAAUGAGGAAGAGCUUGAGAUGGUGUAUGAGAAGUGUAUCCGCGAUGUGUUUGAGGUAUAAGUAUAGUAAAAAAAAUGGGUUGUAUGUUGUUGUUUUUAUUGUUUGUGAAUUUUAAUAUUUGUAUUGUAUUCCUGUUAUUUUUAUGAUACAAAAAUUGAAUUCAUUGGGUUUACUUAACUAAUCAAUUUCAAAUGCCUAGUUGUGCAAUCAUGAUAAAGUUAUGGGUGGUACAAGCACGAAAGAAAGUUUUUUUGUCCACCAGGUGUUAGCAGGGAUUUUCGACAAAGAAAAAUACCUCAGCAAACAGGUCAAAGUUCGGGACAUGUUGACUUUUGAUGACGUGUACACAGUUUGGAGUCCCAAGUGAAAAGAAAUUGGGACUUAGUAUUUUUUGGUAAUAUUGUAGAAACAUUUCAACAACGAAGUUCUCGACAUCACCAAGUGCAUCGAAGAAGCAGUUAUUUAGGUGCACAUAGAGAGAAUGUAAGGCGAAAUGCAUGCAGGCUUCUACGUGGUGAAAGCUGAAAAUGUGAACGUUGAAAGCAAUUAUUUCUUACUAGUGUAUAUAGCAGACUCAUUUGUAAAAUUUGAGGUGUUCAUUUCAUCAUAAAAUCUCACUUACACUCGAAGCACCAGCGCUAAGAGAAAAUAGUUUUCAUUGAGAGAAUGUAUGAACCAUAAAACACUAAUCUUUACUUUAAUCCAAAAGUCUUUCAAUUCAGUUUACUUUUCUGUUGCUUUCAUCCAUACACAAUUUUAGUGCUUUCGUUUUACUUUGGUUUUAAUUAAUAUUUCGCUAUAUCUCUAUCGAGAUUACACAUUUACGCUUUUCUGAUGACAUCUUUUUCAAACUCUCUUAAAAAAUCAUUAUCUGAUUUAGAAAUUUCUUUAAAUGAUUUUUUCAUAUCAUUUUCAAAAAAAUUUAAACCUUCUAAAAAUGCAUAAAUUGAUUUUUGCAUAUCUGUAUUUUGAAUGAGUGAGUGUUGUUGAAGCUGUGAAACUAUUGUAUUGUUGCAAAUGUGGAGAGAUAGUUGUACUUUGAUGGUGAUAGUUGUAUGAAGAGUAUGGGUGUAGCCAUAGUUAAAACCUAAAUUGGUGAUGUGGUUGGAAGAAUGGUGGUGGAAUAAAAUGGAUAAGUGUAGGGGGAAUAAGUUUGUAUGAUAAGUAUAAUCCAUUAGAGGAUAUGAAUGCAUGAAUGAAAGAACCAAUUGAUAGAGAGCUUAAACCUAAGUUGCUAGAAAAUAAAAGAAAAACAAACUAAAUAAAAUAAAAGAGACUAAAUUUAAAUACAUCAUAGUCAUCCAUCCAUAUGACACAAUUCUAAAAACUUAAAAACCUUCUUGAAUAUCGUACUAAUUAAUAUAUAUUAGAAUGCUAAUUAAAAUAUCUAAUCAAUAAUUAAUAAAUUUUCUCUAUCAAUGUGUGAUCAGCAACCUAUUCUUACCUCAAUCUUAAUAUAGCUAGAUUAAUUUGAAGUUUGUUCUCUACGUUUGAUUGUUUUUGGUUCGUUUGGAAUAAAUAUUUUAUGCUGAAAGAGAAAAUUUGUCAUUUUUUUUAUAAAUUAGUUAUAAAAAUUUUAAAAAAUAAAUAACAUAGGAUUGAAUUGUGAAAUGAUUAUACGUAAUCUUUAAUUUUUUAAAAUACCAAAUAAAUAUUAAAAUAUUAAUUUAGUUCUUAAAAAUGCCCCAUCCAAACAAGUUCAAUCCAACUUGUAAGGGAAAGAAUUAAGUGCUACUUGUUCAAAUGAGGAUGUGGUUUGAUAAUUUAUUCUAAACACCAAACAAGUAGGAUUCGUUUUGAUGUGAAAAGUUUAGGAGAAUAUAUCCAUAAUGAAUAAGUUCAUUCCUAUCCGCAUUUGUGCUGCAUGGUAGAUAAGUAUUCCUACCCAUUUUUAGUUAAAGCCAAGUUCCAUGUUUUUUUUUUAAUUUAAGUUUAUAUAUAUAAUAAUAUAUAUAAUAUAAUAUAUAUAAUAUAAGAUGAAAGAAUCUAUUAAUAAUAUAUGAUACACAUAGGGGGAUAAAAUUUUGUAUAGGUCUCCUAUAACAAAUAAUAUAAUUUACUAUAACCUCAUCUAAUAAAUACCCGAUGUAAUCCUUCUAUCUCACUAUGAAUGAUUCAGUUGACCAUUUCUCAUAUAUUAAGAAAAAAGAAUAAAUGAAAGAGAGAAUGAUAUUUUUACUAAAGUGCAUUUAUUAUGUAUUGAGAAUGAGGGUAAAAUUGAAAAAAUGUGUAUUGAAAAUUGAAAUUGAUUAUUCAUUUUAAGAUGCUAUUUUAUUUUAAGAUGCUAUUUUAUUUUAAGUGUGUCAUAUUUAAAAAUUAAAAUUAAAAUCAAUUUCCUUGGUUCUACAAAAACCUUUGGGAUAAAUUGACUAAGGGAUAAAUCUUGAGUGUGUCAUAUUUCUUUUAUAAUGACAUCAUUCUUUUUUAUUUUACUCUUUAUUUUUUAUUUAAACCUAACUUAUUUGCUACUGCUUAAACUUGCAAACAUCAUUCUCUGAGGUGAGUUGUAAGGCAGAAAAAUAUUUAAGGUUUUUUAAUUAGUUAAGAAAAUUUUCAAGGUUAUAUGUUGUUGUUGCUGCUAAUGAUGUUGUUGUUGUUAUUAUUUUUGUUGUUGUUGUUUUUGUUGUCGUUUUUGUUAUUUUCCAACUUUGAACAAAAUAUUUUUCUCUCUCUUGGGAUCCAUCUCACAGAAUGACGUUGUUGUUGAUUCCACCUUUUGCAAUUCAUUUUUAUAUUUGGCAGAAUUUCUCAAUGUUGUCAUCAAUUAAAAAUUCAAUGAUUAAAUUCUUUUCUUGAUCAAUAAUUUUAAGAAACGUAUUCCAAAUCAUACUUGAAAAUAUGACAACCCAAAAGAAAUGAGGUUUAAGAAAUCAUAUAUUUUGUUUAGUUAAAACUCAUUUCUCGCUAUGCUAGAUACUUUGAAUUUUUUUAGUUUUAUAAUAAAUUCAAUACAACAUCCUGAAUCCUAACACUAAAACUCAUAUUUAUACUAAACGUAUAAUACUUGCUUGUAACGUCGAAAUGUUUGAUUAAAAUCCCUUUUCAAAAAACUUGUAAGUCUCAAUCCCUUACACAUGUGACUUUAACUUGUCUUUAAAGAUCAUAUUCAUUAUUCUCAUGUAGGUUACCUCUGCAUUCAUGAGACCGAAGGCCAUCACUUUGUAGUAGAAGUUCUCUACUUCUAUCAUGAAUGAUGUUUUGUUACAAUCAUUUGGGUCCAUGUUAUAGGGUUGUAACUUAAAUAAGCAUUUGUAAACGAUAAGAGUUAGAGUUCCAUAAAGUUAUCCACCAAUUUGUUUAUGUUUGAUACGGUUGAAUCUGAGGAAGUUGAUAAAUGGUUUUAUCAAAUAGAUCAUAUUAUAUUAGACCAUUAUUUGAAAAUCUAAAACAACACCUGAUUGCAGCCCACCAAAGUUACUAAUUAUUUUUUAAAUCGUCAAAGUUAGGGAAAAUGGAUUGUGUGUACGUUUAGCUUAUAAAAAACAUUUUUGAAAAAAAUACUUUCCACGGAUCCAUUUUGGCGAUGUAACAUAAAAAUCCGAAGAAAUAUGUAGAGAUUUCAGGCUAAAAGAAAAUACUAAUAGCAACCAUUAAAACAUAUGGAGAUUUAUUAUAGGGACACUAGUGCCUUUAUUUUAAACCUCCUAUACAUCAACAUACAUCAAUUGAAACUAUAUAUAGCUUCAAUUUCAUUAUUACUUGCAUAUAGCAUAUUUAAGAUCACAUAUACAUAUAAUAUAAAAACUUAUAGUUCUUGUGGAUGCAUGAGAGUUAACCUCAGUAUACCUCCAUUGAAAGUACCACUGUUAUUUACGGUGCGACCUCCAACAUUGUUGGUGGUGCGGUACUUCUUUCGGUCCCCGGAAUUGGCACCGCUGUUGAUUCUGGCACCGGAGAAAUCUUGGUUCCCGCCACCACGGUUGUUAAACGCGUUUGCAGUACCAUAGUUUUCGUAUUUUGGUGCUUCGGCUUCUUCAGCCUCAAGCAUUGCGAGGAGGUUUUUCAUCACUCGAGAUGACAUUCUUAUAACUUUACUUAAAUAUUGCUAUUAGAAUUUUUGUAUUUGGAUGGUGUUAAUGUUGCAACCAAAACCUUAUUAUAUAGAUGGAAGGAUAGGAAUAUGAUGCUUUUGCUUGUUGUUCACGCGUGAAACUCGUUUUUAUACCUUCGAAUAAUAAAUAUUAAACUCAUAAGAGGUAACCAACUUUGAUUAAAAGCAUCACACGCUAAAUGUUUAUUCUUAUCCACAAUCUUUUCUUAGAUAAAGAUUAUUCCUAUAGGCAUUUGUUUUAAUAGAUAAGAUUCAUUCGUCUCAGCAUCUGUGUUUCAACACUAAGUCUUGGAAUAUAUAUAGCAAGUGUUGUAACCGCAACAACCUCCAUCCCAAAUGUUGUCCCUGUUCCUAUUCGUCUUGGUGUUUGAAUGAUGAAUUUUGAAAGAUAGAUUCUAUAUUAAUUGGGACAUAUGGUUGGUUAUGUACCUCGAGACUCUAGAUUUUGACGGGAAAUAAUUUCUGAAUGAGAAAACUAAAAAUUUAUGAGAAGUUGAAAUAAAUAAAUACAAUGUUGUUUGAAGGGACUUAUAAGUUUCGACACAAUUAUGAAAGUGUGUGUGACUCCUAGUUACCAAGUCGGUUUAACAUAAUCCUCUCAUCUGGAUUGACUUUUAUUUCCCUUUUCGUGAGGUAGUACACCAAAAACACUUUUAAGACUAAUUGUUAAUAAUUUGAGAAAAUGAAGCUUUUACGAUUGUUUUGAGAAAUAUUUAAUAAACUAAAACAAUAACAAAAUAAGUUAGGUUUAAUAGUGAUAGAAAGGUAUUGCGGUUAGAACUUUACCAUUGGAACCACAUGCAUACCGAUCAACAAUUAUACAUUACUACGAAAAACACCUAUCACAACGGUUGAAAAAGAGAUACCACCACGUUGGGCCAACCGUUGUGAGGUAAGCUGUGAUUGUAUGAAUGACGCUUUCCACCACGGUUGGGUGACCGUGAUUAUAAGUCAAGUAGCGCGCUACCUACCAUAAUGGUUACUUUAAAUAACCAUUGUUGUAUGUCUCAACCUAUCACAACGAUUACUUUAAACAAUCGUUAUUGUAUAUCUUUUAAUAAAAAAAUGCAGAAGUAGAACAACGACAACAACAACAAGAACAACAAGAACAAAAAAAACAAGAACUACAACAAGAACAACAAGAAUAAGAACAAGAACAAGAACAAGAACAACAAUAACAACAACAACACUAACAACAACAACAAUAACAAGAAUAACAAUAAGAACAACAACAAGAACAAAAAAAAUAACAAGAACAACAACGAUGACAAGAAUAAGAACAAGAACAACAACAAUAACAAUUAAAAUUUCUAACUUGAAUCCAUGUUUUCCUUGUUUGAUUCAAGUUGGAGAAUAGAUGAUGGAGUUCUAAAAUUUGUUAAUAAAAGAAAUCAUGUUUAUUGUGCUUCAUCAUCUGAUGAUGUUAUGAUUAGCCUUCGUUUAGCAUUACGAGUUUUUAUUUUUAUUUUCUUGUAUGGUUUACCAUUGAUGUUGUCACCAUCAUUUUCUCUUCCAUGUUCUUCUUCUUUUUCAUCUUCUUCGUGAUCUUCUUUAUUUUGAAUCAUUGGUGGUGAUAUGGACCCUUAUAUGUAAUAAGUAUAUUGUUAGUAUUCAUAAAGUUAGUAAUAUAUUUAUAUGAUUACAGUACAAAUUUAAUCACCUGUUUAAUAGGUAUUUUUAGAAUUGGUUCUGGUAGAAUAACAGUUGGUUCAAAAGUAUGUGAUACUGUGUAGAUUUGCGACCCUUCUUUUAAGUUUCUUGCAGAUAACUUUAUUUCAAAAAUAAGAGUACCAUGACAAAGAUUAUGUAGUAUUGAUGGUGUAGGCGUGUUAGCUUGCUGUUACAAGAGCAUUUGAGCCGUUGUAUUUAGUAACUUUUGUACCUCUUGAUCAAACAAUGUUAAAGUCGUUUUAGUGGCUUCAUCGGACAUUUUUAGCAUUAUCUUGAACAUUUGAUUACAUGUUUUUUAUAUUAUAUUAUUAAUAAUAUUUUUGAUAAGAUGGUUUGUAAUUGAAAAUGUCUAACCUUGGUUUUGGAUGCUUUAAAGUGUAUCAUCAAUUUCAUUUAUAGUUGCUAAAACUGUGAAGAAAACCUCAUAUAUUUAAAAGUUUAGAAAAAUUGGUAAUUAAAAUAACUUUAGAAUUUUAUUUUCAAAAGAGUAUUUAAAUAAAAUUUAUAGUGUAUCUGACUCCCAUGUCAUAGUUCUAUUUUGGGUCAUCCUCAAUUGAGGUGACAUAUUUGAAAACCCUGUGAUUGAAAUCUCCUUUAUUUCUAGUUGGUCAUUUGAUUGACCGUAUAAUUUAUACAAAAUAAAAAGAGAUAUUGAAUGACUAACUUUAAAUUUUAGUUAUUUAAAAUGAUAAUUCAAAAAUAAUAGCAUUUAACGAAUAAAGUACAAUUGAUUGGUACAUUACUUUUUUAGGCGUUAAAAUUUUGGAUUUUCUAGAUUGAUGUAAAUCCGGGUAGUUGAAGUUGAGUUGAUCGAGUAUUCAUCUAUGAAAUCAAAAUGAUAAUUUAUUUGUGAAAAUGACGAUCCUUUGAGUGAAUAAAAUAUCUAUAACGUUUAAAUAUAUAGUUACCUCUAAACAUCUUUACUGUUGUAGAGGUAAUUGCAACAAUAGUGAUAUUUUGUGGUUGAGUUGUCAUCAAAUUUUCAAAUUCAAUAGCUAUUUUUUUCCAUAACCUGACCUUAACAAUUUUAUACCUAUGAAUAAAGUAGGAUUAGAAUGUUAAUAUUAAUUUUAAUUUAAUAUACUUAAUUUAUAUAUGAAUAUAUGAAUAAGCAAAUACGCGUAGUUGAAAUCUUAAUCUUGUAGUCUCAAUUCAAGUAUGAUAAUUUUUGUAGGUUUUCCUUGUACAUAAAUGUAUUCUUCAUGUCCAAGAGCAUGAAACACUCCAACUAUGUCUCCAAUUAUGUCUGAAAAGAAACAUAAAUAUAAUUAUAUAGUGUAAUUUAUAUUAUUAUAGGGUAACUUGUGUAUAACACUACCAGAGAAAAUAUUUUGAAGUUGUUUCUAUGGUAACAAAUUCAAAAUAAUGGUGUAAAAUUGUAGAGUCUGAAUCUUGAAUAUUUGUUACUGUUCGAAAAAAUCCAUGCAUUUUUUAAGCCUUUGACUGGUUUGUAUAUUUCAUUUGCCAGAACUAUUUAUAUAUAUUUUUGGUAUAUAACUUUCUCUCUUGUAUCAAUUCUCUCUUGUAUAUAAACUGUGGUAUAAGAUAUUUGUUCUUUUUGUUGUAUGUAAAGGAGUUCCGUGAAGAAAAAACAUAUAACAAUAAAAUAUUAAAAUCAAUAAUUUUAUAAAGAAAAAAUAAUAAUGUUAAAUAUUUAGAAUAUAAAAUUAUAUUUUGUUAACAACAAAUAAAAUAUUUGGGAUAAAGAGUUAAUAUCUUCAUAUCUAACAAAAUCAUUUCUAUGAAUGUUUGUUAUUUGUUUCCUAAAUUAUAAUGUUCUAUAAUAUUAUUAUUAUAUUCACUAAAAUAUGUGACUCUACUUCAUCCAUAGAUCAGUUUUCUUUCCUGAUCUAAAAUAUAUAUAUUAUAUUUAUUAGUAUUUCAUGAGUUUUACUUUUUUUAAAUGAUAUAAAUGUUUAUAAUAAUACUAAUAGUCGUCUUUAUUAAAGUAUUUAUAAAUAUAAGUAUUUUAUAUGUGUAACAUUUCAUUAUGUGCUAUUAAUAUUUGGGAUAAGAUAUUAUAUGUAUUAAUUUUUUUAAUGUUUAGAAAUAAAAUAAUAUAUUUAUUAUUCAUACAAAUUUUUAAAAUUUUAAUAAUAAUGUUAAUAAUACACAAUUUAUUUAUUUAUUAUAUUCAUUAUAUAAUUUUUAUAACAUUUUUUAAUCAUGAAAUUAAUUUUUUUCAAUAUAUAAUGUAAUUGUUUUAUUAUGACAUUAAUUUUUUCAAUAAUAUAUUCAUUAUUUAUUAUGACAUUAAUUUUUUCAAAAAAUUUUAAUGAUAAUAUUAAUGGUUAAAAGGAAAUGUAGUGUAAUUGUUUCAUUAUAAUUUUAAUUAAAGUUUGUAUUACAUUUUUAUUGGUAAUAAAUAUUUCAAAUUAGUUUACAAAUGAAAUUGAUAGUUUUCAAGUGUAAUUAUGAAAUAAAUAGUUGUACAUUUUAUGUGAUUUUAUUUUUUAGCAAUAAAAAAUAAAAUGUAAGUUAAAUUACAGAUGGAUACUCAAAAGUACAGUAUAAUGUAAUAGAAUUCAAUUAGUUUUUCAAUUUUCGGUAAGAAUGUUAAUAAUACAAAAUUUAAAUAUUUAUUAUAAUCAUUAUUGCAUUUAAUUGGGAAUAGUUUUAAAUGUAAUUUAUUGUAAAUAUUUUGUCAACAUUGAUUUAUUUUUAUGAUGACUUAAUUUUUAUAACAUCAUCUUAAAAAUAGUUGACUCUCUUAAAUACAAUUUAUUGUAAAUAUUUUAUAAACAUUCAAUUUUUUUUAAUAAUGGCAUUAAGUUUUAUGUUUUGGAUAACUUUUUAGAUUGAAUUAUGACAUAAUGUCUUAAGAAUAAUUGUCUUUCUUUUAUUAUUAAUGAGAAAUAAACUUUAUUUUUAUAGAGAAUAAAAUUAAGUUUUUUUAUUAAAGAAUAAAAUUUAUAUUUUGUGGAUUCAAAUUAAUAAAUAUUAGUUAAUAAACAUUAGUUAUGAAUAAUUUCUAGAGUAAUAUUUAUUUUUAUUGAAUAUUUAUCUUAGUAAUUUUUUUAUUCCGUGUAAUUUUAUAAAUAUUAGAGAUAAUGAUUAAUAUGUAUCAUACAUUGUACAUAUUUCCUAUGUCUCUAAUUUUUAAAGAUGUAAAAUUUAAUUCUCAUAAUAGUAAUAUAAAAUAUUUAUUUUUUUAUGGAAUUGGAUCCUCUCCAAUUUUCUCUCUCAUGCCCUCUCUCUAAUUCUAAACCAUUUGAUUAAUCCAAUUGAUAAAAUGUAAGAAAGAGAAAAAAUUAUCAUUUAAAGAAGAAAGAGAAAUAUAUUUGUUUUAAUUUUAUUUUAUUUUUUUAUCUACUAAAUAAUUUAACUUAAGAAAACAAAAGACUAUAAAAAAGACCACAUUAUCCAUAUAAUUUGUUGCUAAAACAUGUUUUUCUUUUUAUUUUAAUAUUCUUUACUAAAUAAAUAUUUUAUACAUUUUUAUUUGAUAGUAAUUAAAUGAUUUAAAAUAUAUGUAAUUAAUUUAAUUAGUCAAUUUUAACUACUUUUUAUUUUAAUGUAUUAUAAGAAUUAUAUUUGAAAUGCAUAUUUGUGGUUAAAGAAUAAAAUUAAUGUCUAUUUUUUAUAUUAUCAACAUAAAAAUGAAUAAAAUAAAUUAUAUAUCAACUAUUAUUUUUCAAACUUUAAAUUUUUAAAGAUGUUUUAUUUGAAAAUGAGUCAUUAGAUAAAUUGCUGAAGCAUAUAACUUUUACUUUGAAUUUUAUUUAUCUUUCAUGAAUCAUGAUUAUUUAGUUAACUUAUCAUUAUAUAUUUUUUAGUUAAAAAUGAGAAUAGUUAUAAUAUAUUUACUAUAAUAUAUUAUAAAAAUCUACACAACACAAAUGUUAUGACUAAAGAAUUAAUUAAAAUAUUUUUUCUUAAAAAACAUAAUAUUAAAACGAGACACCAUAAUCUUUUUAUUGUAUUUAAAAUAGAUUUUAUUUUUUAUGAAACUUUUAAUUUUUUUAUAGUGAAGAUGAUAUAAUUUAUUGAAAAUAAUUUAAUUACUAUCAAAUAAAAAUGUAUAAAAAUAAUUAUUUAGUAAAGAAUAUUAAAAUAAAAAGAAAAACGUGUUUUUAACAAGAAAGUAUAUGGGAUGAUGUGUUGUUUUUUAUAACCUUUUGUUUUCUUUAAGUUAAAUUAUUUAGUAGAUGAAAAAAUAAAAGAAAAUUAAAACGGAUAUAUUUCUCUCUCUUCUUUAAAUGAUUUUUUUUUCUCUUUUUCUUGUAUUUUAUAAGUUGGAUUAAUCAAAUGAUUUAGAAUUACACAUGAGAGAGGGCAUGAAAGAAAAAAUUGGAGAGGAUCCAAUUCCCUUUUUUAUUGAAUAUAAUCUAAUAGGCCUUUAUUAUCUAUAUUUAUUAUUUAUAAUUCAAAUAAAAUUAAUUCUAUUAUUAAAAAUAAUAAAUAUAAAUAAUUAUCAAGAAUAAAAUAAUGUACAAAAAUGAUAUCUUCUAUUUAUUUUCAUAUUGAUUGUUUUCUAUGUUAUAUUUUAAAAAAAUUAUACGAAUAUUUAUAAUAAUAUUAAUGUAUAAGUAAACACUAUAUUUUGGUAUUUUUUUUGUUAUGAUCCUUGUGAUGCUAUUAAUAUUUGGGAUAAAUAUAUUAUGUUUUAUAUUUUUAAAAAAUUGACUAAAAUAAAAUAGUAUAUUUAUUAUUUAUAAAAAAAAUAUAUUGACCAAAAAAUGUAUAAAAUUAUAUAUUCCUAUAAUAUUUGAUAAGGAAAAUUAAAUAAAUUAUGAUUAUCAUAACAACUAAAAAUCAUUAUUCAUAAAUUAGCUGGUAGAUAGUAAAUUACACCAUAGAAAUACAAUCAACAAAUAUAGAAAUAUAACAAAUUUCAGUUGACAUGGUAAAAUAAAUUGGUAAAAUGAAUGCUUAAACUUAGAUAAAAAAUAAUUGAAUUUAUAUACAUGUCAUUUUAAAUUUGAGUGGUUCUGUGAGUGAGGUCUUAAAGAACUUCAUUGUACAUAAUGUUUAAGACAAUAUGUUCACUUGGUUGAUCGUCAUCCCUUCGUGAGAAUAUCUAAUCCACUUUUGGUAAUUACCCUUUAGAAAUACUUCGAAUAAAGUAAAAAAUAAAAUCAAAAGGAAAAUUGUUGAUCAUUCUAUUUCAUCUUUGUAUUUUUAACAUAUUUGAAGAAUUGUAAUUAUACAUAUAUAUAUAUAUAUAUAUGAUAUUAUAUAUAUAUAUAUAUAUAAUAUAUCAUAUAUUAUAUAUAUGGAUUUAUCUAAAAUUAUAAUCAACUAUUGGAAUUUACCAAAAGGGGAAAUUAAAAAGUAAUCAGAUAUAUCCAAAAUUGAAUCUUGCAGGAACAACUUCACCCAUACCAAAUACUGCAAUCUUGAUCCCAAAUAUAUCAAAUACUGCAAUCUUAAUCUCAAAUAUAUUUGUCAAAAACGGUAGGAAGGGGAAACUCGAAUAGUAAUUAAGGAAAUUCAAAAUUGAAUUCUGCAAGGACAAUAAUCCAAAAUCUAUUUGUAAGUAAUGGUAGGAAGGAAAAAAUUGAAUCAAUAACGUAUAAAGUAGAAAAUUGAACUGUAAUUGGAGAAUUCCAAAAUCUAUGUGUAGGAAGAAGAAAAUUGAGCUAUAGAGAGAAGAAAAUCUAAUGGGAGAGCAGCCACACUUUCUGAGAUAUUUGCAAGAGAAGGAAAAAUAAUUUGUCAUUUGUAAUGUGGUAUUGGAGAGGAAAUGUGAAAAGGGUUUUUUUGGAAAAGAUAGAGUCAUAAAGUCAUGAUUACAAGUAAUACAUGACUUUAUAAUACUCACUCCGUUUUUUAUUAUAAGUCAUUUUUGACUUUUCACACACGUAUUAAGAAAUGUAAUAAUUAUGGUAUAAAAAAGAUAAAUUAUGAAGAAUUUUACAAAAUUAUCCUUCAUUAAUGGUAUUGGAAAGACAAAUUAACAUAAUUGAAAGGAGAGAGAAUAAUAAAUAUUUAAGGGUAUAAUAGGAAAAAUAACAUUAAUGAUUCAUUGCUAUUAUAAAACGACUUAUAUUGUGGUAUAAAAUAUUUUUCCAAAGUGACCUAUAAUAAAAAACGGAGGUAGUAACUAAAACGGGCAUAAAGUCAUGAUUACAAGAGAUACAUAUAUGUCAUAAUAGAGUGAAAAUAUAACUUGAAUAAAAAAUAAUUUGGUAUUUACUAGUGUUUUUAGUAAACAAUCACGAGUUUGGUUCAUUGAGAGAUUAGACUAAAAAAUCUCAAGGACAAUUUGUGCAAAGAUGUGCAGCAAAAAGUGUUUGUAAUUGAACCUUAAAUGCUUGAACAAUGACCAAAGGAAUGUAAAUUCUAACAAGAAUAAAUUUUGAAUAAAUAUAAUAAACAAAAAGCGGGACAAAAGUCAUUAAAAAAUAUCAACGCUUUAAUUUAAAAUAUUUGAGGAAUUUAAAAAAUGGCGUUGAAUCAUACAUUAUCUCACAAAUUGUUUAUUUAUGCGACUUUGGUAUUUUAGUUCUAUAGAGAACAUAUGAAAUUUGUGACAUUGAUCCCAAUAAUGAGAUCAAUUAUAUAUAAUAAUACAAUAGUAACCAUCAACAACCACAACUAUUUCCACGGGAAUUAACAUGUAUCACAUGAUGUGGGUUUCAACGCUCUAACUUGUUUCCACGCGUUCUUCCACAUUAAAACUGUUGAAAACCACCUACUAUGUUGAUAACUGCUCUUGAACCUCUUAACUAACUCUAUCGAGAGUCUUUGGUCGACUCCUAUAAUAUUGUUAAGAUAUCUUCAUGACCCCCAUCCUAUGGACUUAACAAUAUCCUAAGUUUUCAACAUUUGGUGGAUGUUUUGAACUCGACCCUUGUCGAAGAGCUGAUUCACGUAAUCCUUUUUGAGAUUCUGAAUAUGUUUCAAAGAAAGACUGAUCUUAAUCUUAUGGAUUUUUUCUUGAGAUUCUUCCAAACCAUGCUACGUGGGUUAUGCUCCAGAUCAUCUGACAAAGAGGUCUAACCAUCUUUAGUCAACGUGGUUGAUAUGUUAAAGUUAUACUUGGGGCUCUUGACUUUUAGCACUUCCAGACGUGUUUGUUAAGUUCCUUCAGCUAAAAACAUGUAUCUCAAGUUUCUUUGCUACAGUUCAAAAAACCUUUCUCAUCAGUCGCAGAUAUUUCUGAUGGUAAAAAACCCACCUUCAUAGUUAAAUUGCAACAGUUCUAAGUAACGCUAAUUUUAUUGUUUUGUUUUGAAUGUAAAAUGUGACAGUUAUUAACUGUUAUGUAUAUUGGUAAAACUAUUGUAGUAUAGUAGUUUAUUUAAUCAUAAAUACAAUGAAGUGAGUAUUAUUAUAUCGUAUCCUCAAUGAUUGAUGCAACAAAACAUCUUAAGAGCAAUUGUUACUAUUAUAUAGAUUUUAAUAUUGUUUUGAGAAAUAUUACAUAAACCAAAACAAUAACAAAAUAAGUGAAGUUUAACGGUGAUAGCGAGAGAGGUUGGGGUUUUACUGUAACGAUUGUAACAACAUGCAUACUAAUUAACAGUUUUAGAUUUCUUAGCCAUCAAACCAUAUUAUCACAUAUAGUCAACAACAUUAUUCAUGUCUAAGAUAAUGUUACUAUACCAAUGAAUUUGUUCGUUCGACGAUAUCUCAACCUAAUAAAUAAUACGAUAACAUUAAGAUUUAAAAAUUUCUCUAAAUUCAAAUUGUCAUCUUUAAAGUUUAGCAUUUGGUAGAUGAUUAUCUAGGUCUAAACCUAAAAAGUGAUUCUCUAAAGCAUUCUAAAUUCAUAAAUCAUCUUAUAAAUGAUCAAAUCAUGUUUAAACAUAAAUACAUAUCAUUAGUCUAAACCUAAGAAUUCUUCUCAGGAGUAGAUUAGAUUCACACACAUGACUAAGGCAUAACAUGCCUUAGACACAAACAUAAAGAUCAAUAAAGUUGAAUAACUAAAACAGACAUAAAACCAUGAUCACAAAUAAUUCAUAUAUGUCAUAAAAGAGUGAAAAUAUAACCAGAGUGAAAGAGAACUUAGUUACAUAUUGUAAUGACAUCAAACGAUCUCUCCAUUCUUUGCUAAAUCUACUUCGUCACGCCUUCAGAGUUACUGACUUCGCGCUCUCUCUUACUGAUUUUAUAUGAUAACACUAUACUAAAACUAUAUGAAAUAUUUCCAUGAUGAUUUCCUUUGACAACCAAAUGCUAUAUUUAUAAGAUUUUGAAUUUCUCUUCAUUUGUUGAGCGAAGAACGGUCUGUGAAACGAAUUGAUCUUUUGAAUCCGUUUUUCAUUUGCAGGCAAUUUGUGAGUCGAUUAAUGAAUUUGAAUUAUUUUGAAAGCUAGGCAUUUUUGUCUUAUAUUCUCUUAACGAGGGUUUCUUGCAUAACAAAUUUAGCUUGAUUUUUGGCCUCUAAUACCCUUUUAACUUUGGUUCUCGUACUCAAUUUUCCUUGGGUUUUGAUCCUUUCCUUUUAGAUUUGAAUUCAUUAAACCUAUUACAUUCAAAUGGUUAUAAAUUAUGAUAAUUGUGCAACUAUCUAACAAUAUUCAUUCAUGCAAAAAUCAAUGGUUUUAGGUGUUACAAGUAAAUGUCUUUACCGUGAAAUUUGGUAAACAAGCGUUAAUCUCUUAAUAAAGAUUACUUGCAGGAUCGACCAGAUAAUCCUAAAACAUAGUGUUAAAUUUUUUCUGAAGUUUUCUGUGGAAAUAUAAAGGAUUUCGACUUGGUCGAAAUCUUUGAGUAAAGAUAAUGGAAAAAAAGGUUGAUUAUUUGAAAACGUAUGGAAUAUCGACAAUGCAAAAAGAUAGAUUUUGUAAAAAAAAAUAUAAAAGUUAUAAUAAAAUUAAUAGAGGGAAGAACGCAAAUUUGCAAAGAAGUUAAAUUAAGUAAAAGAGUUUGCAUUUGAAAUAAAUGGUGUUUCAGAAACCAUACAUUUUGUUCGAUGAAUCUCGUUUCUCGCUAAGUUGGGUACUUUGAGUUUUGUAGUGAUUUAACACAACACACUGAAUCCUAACAUUAGAAAUUUUAUUUAUACUAAACAUAAAAUAACUGCUUGUAACAUUCUCCCUUUCAGCACUUGACAUAUAAUUUUUGCAUGUUUUUCGUCUUUGAAGUGUCUUCUACGUAUCUAUUUGGAUAAGACUGAAAAGUAGUUACUUGUUUUGAAAAUAUUCUCUCACGCUAACCAUUUGUGGUUAACGUGUCUCCAUGAUUGCUGAUGUCGAAAACAUGAACAAUGAUGUCGUCAAGGCACAAUAUUUAUUAACCAUUUUUCUUUAUGGACUGCUUGAUUAGAACCACAUGAUCCUCUAUGAACCUCAGAGAUUGUUAAGUACGCCUCACUUUCGCAAAGGCACUUAAGAAGAAUUCCUUCUCGAGUUUUCUUUAAUCUCUUAUUAAAGAUUACUUGCAGGAUCACUUUCCUAUUAGACUAUGAAGUAAAGGUUUCGACAACAUGUGAUUAAUCACAUCAAAAUGGGAAUCCAUAUAAACUUCAACAAGCUUUAUAUAAUGCUUUAGUUUUAUACAUGAAAAGUAUAGGCACAAACAUAACUUUUCUAUUGCAUUAUAACUAGUCUCUGCAUCAAUCAGAAUUUGUCUGAGGUAAUAAAUGGCUUUUUCGACGCUAUUUUCGUCCUUUUAGGCUAGCAUACUUCUUAUUUAUACUUGGAGGUAACAAAAUAGGAGGCUUCAUUAGAUAAUCUUUGAUUUUCUCGAAAGCCUCUUGUUGCUCGCUCCCCCAUCUAAAAUCACUUUCUUUCCUGAGUCGAAGUAAUGGCGAGAAAACCCGAGUCUUGCCACUUAAAUUAGAGAUGAAUCUUCUAAGGAAGUUUAUUUUCAUCAACAAAGAUUGGAGUUGUUUCUUGGUCGAAGGAGGCUUGAGAUCCAAGAUCGCUUUUGUUUUGUUUUGAUUAAUUUCUAUGCCUUUUUUGUGCACCAUGAAUCCCAAGAAAUCUCCUGCAUGGACACAUAAAACACACUUUAAUGGAUUUAUUUUUAAUCCAUAUUUUCUAAUCCUCUCAAAGGAUUAUCAAAGAUGGCGUAAGUGAUCAUUUUCCUGAUGAGGACUUUAUAACUAUGUCAUCAAUGUAGACUUGCAUAAAUGUUUCGAUGAAAUCACGGAACAUCAAAUUCAUAGCCCUCUGAUAAGUUGUCCCAACAUUUUUUAAACCAAAGGGAAUUACUAUCCAUUCAUAAUUUCCUAAAGCAUCUGAGCAUCAAAAAUUCCAUUUUAGGUACGUCUUCCUCAGCUAUAAAAAUUCGACUGUAUCAGAAUAUCUAUCUAACAUACUUAGAUAUUCAAAACCUGUGACUGAAUUUACUAACGUUUCUACCACGGACAUUGGGUACUCGUCUUUAGGUGUAACAUUAUUCAGAUCUCUAAAAUUUAUAGACACUCUAAGAGUUCCAUUUUUAUUUAUAAUAGACACGAUAUUUACUAAUCAUUCGACAUACCUAACUGUUUUAAUGAACUUACUCCUGAGCAGCCUUUCAUUUGCUAGGUAAUUUGUGAUUCGACUAAUGAAUUUGAAUUAUUUUGAAAGGUAGGCAUUUUUGUUUUAUAUUCGCAUAACGAGGGUUGCUUGCAUAACAAAUUUAGCUUGAUUUUUGACCUCUAAUACACUUUUAACUUUGGUUCUCAUACUCAAUUUUCUUGGCCUUUGAUCCUUUCUUUUUGGAUUUGAAUUCAUUAAAUCUAUUACAUUCAAAUGAUGAUAAAUUAUGAUCAUUGCGCAACUACCUAACACUAUUCAUUCAUGCAAAAAUCAAGGGUUUUAGGGGUUACUUCGCACACAAGUAAGUGUGUUUACUAUAAAAUUUGAUAAACAGUCGCUAGUUUCUCAUUAAAUGUUACUCGCAGGAUCAAUCAGAUAAUCCUAAGACAUACUGUUAAAAGUUUUCUAUAGAAAAGGAAAGGAUUUUGACCUGGUCAAAAUCUUUGAGUAAAGAUAAUGCAAAAAAGGUAGAUUUUUGGGAAAUGUAAAGAAUUGCAACAAUGUUAAAGGACAAACAUUGUAAAAGCAAAUGUAAAAGUGACAAUGAAAUUAAUAGAGGAAUGAUAGCACAUUUGUAAAGAAGAUAAAUUGAAGUAAAAGAGCUUGCUUUGAAAGAAAUGAGGUUUAAGAAAUCAUAUAUUUCGUUCAGUGAAACUCAUUUCUCGCUAUGCUAGAUACUUUGAAUUUUUUUAGUUUUAUAGUGAAUUCAAUACAACACCCUGAAUCCUAACACUAAAACUCAUAUUUAUACUAAACGUAUAAUACCUGCUUGUAACGUCGAAAUGUUUGAUUAAAAUCCCUUUUCAAAAAACUUGUAAGUCUCAAUCCUUAUCUUACACAUGUGACUUUAACUUGUCUUUCAAGAUCGUAUUCAUUAUUCUCAUGUAUGUUACCUCUGCAUUCUUGAGACGGAAGGCCAUCACUUUGUAGUAGAAGUUCUCUACUUCCAUCAUUUUGGCCAUGUAACAUAAAAAUCAGAAAAAAUAUGUAGAGAUUCCAGGCUAAAAGAAAAUACUAAUAGCAACCAUUAAAACAUAUGGAGAUUUAUUAUAGUGACACUAGUGCCUUUAUUUUAAACCUCCUAUACAUCAACAUACAUCAAUUGAAACUAUAUAUAGCUUCAAUUUCAUUAUUACUUGCAUAUAGCAUAUUUAAGAUCACAUAUACAUAUAAAUAAUACAACUAAAACUUAAAGUUCUUGUGGAUGCAAUCAGAGUUUACCCUCAGAUAUACCCUCAUUACCAUGGAAAGUACCACUGUUAUUUACGGUGCGACCUCCAACAUUGUUGGUGGUGCGGUACUUCUUUCGGUCCCCGGAAUUGGCACCGCUGUUGAUUCUGGCACCGGAAAAAUCUUGGUUCCCGCCACCACGGUUGUUAAACGCGUUUGCAGUACCAUGGUUUUCGUAUUUUGAUGCUUCGGCUUCUUCAGCCUCAAGCAUUGCGAGGAGGUUUUUCAUCACACGAGAUGACAUUCUUAUAACUUUACUUAAAUAUUGCUAUUAGAACUUUUGUAUUUGGAUGGUGUUAAUGUUGCAACCAAAACCUUAUUAUAU
rnacentral:lncRNA from 1 species